ensembl:lncRNA
AAUAACUCACACAGCAUGCUGCUGCAAUGGUCCAUGGUUCAUGCACAGGAUUUUUCGUGGUGGAGAUGGCUGUGUUGUGAAUAUGAUGUCACUCUGGUUUGUGAGCCGUGCUGGACAGAGCAGUGCUCAAGCCUCGUAUGUGUGUUUUCCAGCUGAUCCUCUCCAUGCAGAUGUUUGUAAUGAAUCGGAGUUAAUUAGACAUGGUGUCUGUUUUUCACUGUAAUCAAAUGUGCCUUCAUAGAGUUCGGAGUGUGUUCAGGAACAGUGACUGACACGGAAUAAAAUGGGAAUGGAUUAGGAUGGGUGUGGAAUAAGAUGAGCAUGGAUUAGGACUGGUAUGGAUUAGGAUGGGCAUGGAUUAGGAUGGGCAUGGAAUAAGAUGGGCAUGGAUUAGGAUGGGCGUGGAAUAAAAUGGGCGUGGAUUAGGAUAGGCGUGGAAUAAAAUGGGCAUGGAUUAGGAUGGGCGUGGAAUAAAAUGGGCAUGGAUUAAGAUGGGCGUGGAAGAAGAUGGGCUAGGAUUAGGAUGAGCAUGGAAUAAAUAGGCAUGGAUUAGGAUGGGCGUGGAAUAAAAUGGGCAUGGAUUAGGAUGGGCGUGGAAUAAAAUGGGCAUGGAUUAGGAUGAGCAUGGAAUAAGAUGGGCAUGGAUUAGGAUGGGCGUGGAAUAAAAUGGGCAUGGAUUAGGAUGAGCAUGGAAUAAGAAGGGCAAGGAAUAGGAUGGGCAUGGAUUAGGAUGGUAUUUAUUAGGAUGGUAUUUAUUAGGAUGGGCAUGGAUUAGGAUGAACAAGGAAUAAGACGUGCAUGGAUUAGGAUGGGCGUGGAAUAAGAUGUGCAUGGAUUAGGAUGACAAGGAAUAAGACGUGCAUGGAUUAGGAUGGGCGUGGAAUAAGAUGGGCAUGGCUUAGGAUGGGUGUGGAAUAAGAUGGGCAUGGAUUAGGAUGGGCAUGGCAU